rnacentral:lncRNA from 1 species
CAUGUCUAAAAAUUUUGCAAAUAAACCCCUUAAGUUCCUUGAAAAUUUCUUUCAUUAUUGAUGAUAUGGAUGCAAAUGAGUGCAUGAAUGCAACAAUCACACUCAAGGAUCAAGCAAAGCACACCAAACAAAGGUCAUGGGAUGGAUCAUAUUAUCCUUAAUAUCAAUCAUCCAUUUUGGUGGAUUAUGGUUUACACCUUAUCAACACCCAAGUUCCAUU